UACAGCAAAAUGUGCCAUAGCGAGCAAAACACAGGGGUGUGGCUUAAGAAAAUAACCACUAGUUUGUGUACUUUGUCGUUGUGUAAUCAAUUUAACAUAAGAAAAUAGUUCACAGAAAGCAAGUCUAAAUGGACGUUCUUCUCCUAUUCACACUGCUUUGUGUAAAAGCAGAUUUCAGUGACGGUGUUCUGAUCACUCAGUGGCCAAAGUACAUAUCCAGUCGUUCAGGCUCCUCAGUUGAAAUGCACUGUUACCAGAAUGAUACAGACUAUAACUACAAAUACUGGUUCAGACAAAUAAAAGGUGAAGGACCAGUGCUUAUUGGGAGCUACAAUUUUAACUCUCCCUCUAAGGAGGAGGGUUUUGAGAAUGGCUUCAAUUUUUCAGGUACAGAGACAAAGAAAUGGACCCUGACGGUCGAUGUUAAGAAGGGGAUUGAUGCUGUGUAUCUGUGUGCUGCUAGUUUACACAGUGAAUAA